CCUCUCUUCUCCUAUGAUCCUCUGUAAAAAAAUAAUUUUUAAUGGCCACAUGAUAGCCCAUCGGGUUGAUAUGGCAUAAUUUACUUCGGGUUGAUGUGGCAUAAUUUUACUUCUAAUUUUUCAUUUUUGUUGCUAAUUAAUGCUAGAAUGAAUAUCUUCAUACAGUCUUUUUCCUUUGGUUUUCUUUCUGAUACUUAUUUUUUACCUAAUUGCACUGUAAUCAGAAAACAUGAUUUGUACGAUACUGAUUCUGGGAAAAUUGUUGACUUUAUAGCCAAGUAUAUGAUCAGUUUUCAUAAAUGUUUUUUGAACUUUUAAGAAAGAAUGUAUAUUUUCUUUAGCUGGAUACAAGGUUCUACUCAUGUCCUUUUGAUCAAACUUGUUAAUUAUAUUAUUUCUGUUUUCUAUAUACUACUAAUUUUUGGUCUAUGUGACAAGAGUUACUGAGGAAGGUAUAUGUUCUAUAAGUUUCUCCUUGUGUCAAUUUUUGCUUUUUGUUUUUUGAAGAUAUCAUCAGGUACAUACAUAGUUUCGGAAUUAAUGUCUCUUGAAUGUUAUCUUUUUGUGGUUACUAUCUUUAUUCCUAAUAACCCAUUUUGCCUUGGAGACUAUUUUGUCCAAUAUGAACAGAGCUACUCUAGCUUUCUUCCGGUUAGUGUCUAUCUGGUGUAUCCUUUUCCAUCUCUUCAUAUUUUCAUCCUUUUUAUGUUUCAGAGACUGGCUAGAUGCUCACUAAUUCCAUUUCUUCUUCCUGGAAACGCAGGAAGAAGCCCAGCUCUUUGCAGUUAUGUUGGGACCACCGGAGAAUGUGGGUAGCAGUGAUGUAUGCCACUUCUAGGCUUGGCCCUUAAAAUGCCAUCCAUACUCUUUAUAUGUUCUCUCUCCCUUGCUCACGUGGCUCAAGGCAAAGAACUCCAAGACUGUGGAACUAGGAUCGAUGGAUCCCAGAUUCCUAUAUCACUGAUUGAAGGAGUGACAGCCAGAGCAGCAGCCUGACCUGAUGAACUGUGAUGUUUUCUCUACGGUACCACAAAUAUCUGGAUUGUUUUGUUUUGUUUCAUUUUAGUCCAAUCUGAGGAUAUCUUUCUUUUGACUGGAAAUGUGUGUUGACGAUAUGAAUUUGAACCCUGGAAGUAUGGAAGAGCAGUUCACAGCACAGGCUCAGAAGAUCCGAUUGCCUGGGCCCCAGCCCGCCUCUUAGGGGGACUGGGCUGCGAUGACCUGAGCCCAGAGCUGCCUGUGCCCAUCUAGAAGAAGCCUGUCUCCUCCAGCGUGGGCUCGAAGAGAGCCGAGGUAGCCAGAGAGCAGAGGGGUCCUGACCAAACCGUUGGACUUCCUGAAUCCAGUCCACUUGAAGAUGGGCAUCACCACUUUAUUGGGAUGCCAUGAGGUUUAGAUGAGAGAACUCAGGGAAAGCACCAAGUAGCGUGCAGAACACAAGGUGAGCCCUCAAUAAAUGAUGAAUUUUUCUCCUGUCUUAGUGAUCGCAGUGUUUUUGUAAUGAAAAGUUGUCCUUAAAAAUCGUUGCCCCACUGUGUGGAUGUGCGGGUGGGCGAUUUUCCCUGAGGCGGGGUGAGUUCUUUCAGUCUGCAGAUAGAGAUGUGUCUCAGGCUGAGGAAAACCUUUUUCCAGAAGAUCUUUCGUUAUGGCCUCUGUUGGCCAGGAGCAGCAAGUACCUGUGUGUUGGUGUUGGCUGUCUGUUCUCCGUGUCUACCAUCUCUCUCCUCCCCCUCUGAAUGUUGAGCUCCCCGGGGGCGUGGAC